AUACGGAGGGUGCAAGCGUUAUCCGGAAUCACUGGGUUUAAAGGGUGCGUAGGCGGCUUCAUCAGUCAGUCGUGAAAUCGUGUGGCUCAACCAUGCAACUGCGAUUGAUACUGCGAAGCUUGAAUAAGGUUGAGGUAGGCGGAAUGUGACAUGUAGCGGUGAAAUGCUUAGAUAUGUCAUAGAACACCGAUUGCGAAGGCAGACUUCUGGCGUAAAACUGACGCUCAUGCACGAAAGCGUGGGGAUC
rnacentral:rRNA from 1 species